rnacentral:lncRNA from 1 species
AAAGUUCUGGCUCAGAAAGCCUCAGCAUCCUGUCAGAGACCAAGUGAACUCCUGAUAACUGCAUCUUACAGUCCUACAGCUGCUCAGAUUUACCCUGGGAUCCAAAACUCUGUGAGGACCAAGUUGGUAGUGACAGCUCACCCAGACAAUGCCCUCUGCUUCUCCUAACAAACAGCCUCAGUCCUGAAGACAGUGAGGUGAGAGAUGCUCUGUGUUCACACUGCAAGUCCGACUUGCUCCAGGCACCACAUACAAGCCAUGAGGCUCCCACAUGAGAAGAUCUGAGGGCUUUCGACCCCAUUUGUGUCUUGAGAAUAGCAUGAAAGCAUGGAAUGUGAGCUGUAAGAGCAGACUCUAACUUCACUGGCCCCGUUUUUCCGUUGGACAGCAAUGGCUAUCUGGAGUUUUCUACAUCAAGCUUAAGAGAAAUCUCUGCAGAACCAGAAACAGCAGGGGACUCCGAGGGCCAAAGCAUUCCUUCUCAUUCCCUUCUUUGUGCAAGAGCUGAGGAAAGAGCUGCACUGGGAAUGCUGCAGGAAUUCUAAAGAACACAUCCAAGAUGAAAGGGAAGAGGAACAUUUUUUGGCUGGAGUUGGUGCAAACAAUUAUAGUGUAUCAUUCACCACACCUGAGGGAUUCACCACCACCUGUGGAUCUCCCUGAGUCUACAAAACAUGGUCUGAAAACCCCAAGCCAAAAUCAAAGCAGAAAGAAUGCAAGGAAGUGAAGUGUGGAAACGUUUCCUGAUUUGCUAAAGUCACCAGAGAGUCUGUGUGAUAGCUCAGGGCUGAACUCAGAUCUUUAAAGUCUUAGCCUGUGCUUUAAAAACAACUUUGCUCUCAGCUCCCAGGAAAUGUAUGGCUAGAUAGUACCUUCUGGAUGCUUCAUUUAGGGUCCCUGAAAAGAGUUUGUCAAUGAUAGUCAUCUCAAAAAGAAGUGUUCCAACAAAACACAGUUAUAUGUUACUCAGGUGUGCACUAAUUUUAAUAAUUCAUAUACACAUUUCUCUCUCUGGAGAAUAUGACCCAAAAGUAAUGACUUGCCAGACAGAAUAUCCUUUAUUCUCUUAGUCUGAGAGCAGUUAAUCUGGUCAUGAGUAAAUAUCAGUAUUAUCUAAAGGGUUUAUACUGAUGUGGAUGGUAUGGAUGGGAAAACACUUCUUGUCCUAGCUGUUGAUGUCCUACUGUAACUGAACUACAGUGUCUGGGUUUAAGUUUCAUAAACAGUGCAGGAGUUUUCUCAGUAAUUUUUAUAAUAAAUAUGAGUGACUGACAAUAUACCCCCGUAAG